rnacentral:pre_miRNA from 1 species
UUUAAGUGCAGUUGUAGACUUUAGUGUCCAACGUUUGACAUUUAAAAUUUUUCUGUUAUUACUAUUUUUGUUUUUUUUAGAUGAUAAACAUAAGUAGUACUUUAUGCAUGAUUUUUUAAAAAAAACAUUACACAUUUUUUUCAAAUAAGACAGAUAGUCAAACAUUUGACACUGAAACCCAUAACAACACUUAAA